rnacentral:SRP_RNA from 1 species
GCCGGGUGUGGUGGCACACGCCUUUAAUCCCAGCACUCGGGAGGC